rnacentral:lncRNA from 1 species
UUCUGUUCCACAGCUGUGAACAUCAUGUUUCAGUCAUAGUUCUCAGCAUCUGGAAGUAUGACAGGUUUGCACGUUCGAUGUUUAAAAUAUCCUGAACAUCCAGGUGAUGAAAUCCUGAGUGCUGGGGACAAUUAAGGACCUUCGGGAAUCAAGGUUGAUGUCUAUGCUGCUCUCAGGGACGUUGACAAAAGCUCUUGGCCUGGGAGAGAUGAUGUUAAAAUUGCCUGCCUCCCUAGGCCACCUGCUCUCUCCAACAUCUGCCGAGAAUCUGGCUCUGAGGCUCCGGCAGCUCCAGGGCAGUGUGCACCGCACGGGACGGGUGUCAACGCUGCAGACAACUGCCCCACACGGGGCACGCUCAGGGGAGCUGCGCUGCAGCCUCGUCAGCUUCCAGGCUCUUCCAGGCUGUCCCUGUUUUUAGAGGGACGACUGAGGAUGCUUGGGACUCACUUCCUUAAUAAGGAUUUCCAGUUGCCCAAACUGACGAGACUUUAUGCUGUGUCCAGCACAAAGAGUGCAUGCAAACUGGUGGUGAGGACACUGCCCUUAUUCAACCCAUGCCACUCUCAGCACCGAUCCUCUGCGCCUCAAUCAGCAGAGCCCAUGGAGCUGCUCAUCUCUCCUCUCUCUUUUAUCCUCCUUGAACAGCAGGCGGGGACGGUUGGGAUUUGUUACAAAAAUAGGAACAACUACCCAGGAGGCUGAGGCGGGAGGAUUGAUUGAGUCCAGGAGGUCGAGGUUGCCGUGACCUGGAUCACACCAUGGCACUCCGACCUGGGCAACAGAGCGAGACCCUGUGUCAAAGAAAAUAAAGACAAAAAUAGGAAC